rnacentral:rRNA from 1 species
UACAGAGGGGGCAAGCGUUAUUCGGAAUUAUUGGGCGUAAAGGGCUCGUAGGCGGCCAACUAAGUCAGACGUGAAAUCCCUCGGCUUAACCGGGGAACUGCGUCUGAUACUGGACGGCUUGAGUUCGGGAGAGGGAUGUGGAAUUCCAGGUGUAGCGGUGAAAUGCGUAGAUAUCUGGAGGAACACCGGUGGCGAAGGCGGCAUCCUGGACCGACACUGACGCUGAUGAGCGAAAGCCAGGGGAGCAAACGGG